GCGAGCGAGAGCGAGAGUGUGUGACGUGCUCUCACACCAAACAGGACAAUCCAGUUCAGGAUGACACACAGCAGUGGAAACUAAGGUGGAGACUCCAGCAACAACAGUAUCUGCCAUUGACAAAGGCUAAAUUGUACAGUACAACAUAUCACAACGACCUAUCAACAGUAGUACAUUUCAGAAAGGCUACUGUUCUCAGCAAGGGUCCAAAUAAAAAGCCUGGAAGACUUGACUGAAGCCACUUGAAAACGACAAGGCUAGAUUCUCUGACCGCAACUCUGGACAACAUGACAGGCUUUCACAUGAGAUCGUAGCUUUGGCAGAGGAGGAAGAACGGGAAACAGAGGAUUGAAGGAGCGACAGACAAGGGGAAAAGGAGGUAGUACCGAAGGAGGUCCUCGUCCUACAAGACAGAAUGGUUGAGGGACGAGCUUCACGUAGUAGUGACGCCGCCUGACGUGAGACAGUGAUGUGACUUCUACAAACACUCACCGCUGCCAGGUUGCCAACCUGCGUCCAGAAGACAUAGUUGGGGAACUGCUGCAACCCUUUGGCCCCGACAAUCAACCGCUGGUAGAGGAAUCCACAAAUGAGGUACACUGACAAGAGGACGAACCCACUGGGACAGAGGAAUGAAUAAACAUUUUAAAAAGGUGUCGAAUCCCCAGUUGGAAACCCAUCCCAUUAAUUGACACAUGAACAAACAUCACAAUGAUUCACAGUGAUAAUUAUUCUGCUGUUCUGUUUUGUUAAGCGUUGAGGAAAUAAGAGACCAUUAUCAUAAUUGAAUACCAAUAAAUAUGUAAAUAUGAUCUGUUUUGCUUGGUCUUGUAGGUUUGUUUGCUGUGCGCAAAUGACAAGUCCAUUUCAUAGGGUAUUGGGUAUUUGUUGGAGAGAGAAAUGGAGAGCUUUGGUUGCUACCCUGCGUUCCAGCCAGCAGGUUGGGGAUAAGUCUGAGUAUUUCUGUAGUCACCGGAAUGUGUGUAAUCAGGAAGGAUGCAUAAUCUUAGUACUAACAUGAUGAGUAUUAUGGAGCCUGCACUGAGCUGGGAUGGCAGAGCGGGACAGACCGCACUGGAGUCCAGUUCAAACAGAUAGAAACAGUCCCUGUCCCUCUCCCUCUCCUCCAACACCACUUCCAGCUUCCCCUAAGAGACACAUGGGGAGAGAGAGAGAAAGAGAGAGGUUUGAGCAAGAGGGAGGACGAUAGGAGGGGAUGUAGAGAGGUGUGCGUCAAUGUGUGACAGGGAGAGAGGCAUGUCAAAUCACCACACCACAGUGAUCCAAACCCUCCCUUCCCUCUCUCACCAUUUCCACUCCUCUGUUGCAGGAGAUCAUGACAAUGGCUUUCCUCAUCUCCUUGGAACAGUGGCCAUCAUACUUGGUGCCAUUGCU